rnacentral:rRNA from 1 species
CAAGCGGUGGAGCAUGUGGUUUAAUUCGAUGCAACGCGAAGAACCUUACCUACUCUUGACAUCCAGCGAACUUAGCGGAGAUGCUUUGGUGCCUUCGGGAACGCUGAGACAGGUGCUGCAUGGCUGUCGUCAGCUCGUGUUGUGAAAUGUUGGGUUAAGUCCCGCAACGAGCGCAACCCUUAUCCUUUGUUGCCAGCGAUACGGUCGGGGACUCAAAGGAGACUGCCGGUGAUAAACCGGAGGAAGGUGGGGAUGACGUCAAGUCAUCAUGGCCCUUACGAGUAGGGCUACACACGUGCUACAAUGGCGCAUACAAAGAGAAGCGACCUCGCGAGAGCAAGCGGACCUCAGAAAGUGCGUCGUAGUCCGGAUCGGAGUCUGCAACUCGACUCCGUGAAGUCGGAAUCGCUAGUAAUCGUGGAUCAGAAUGCCACGGUGAAUACGUUCCCGGGCCUUGUACACACC